GAUGAACGCUAGCUACAGGCUUAACACAUGCAAGUCGAGGGGCAGCAUGAACUUAGCUUGCUAAGUUUGAUGGCGACCGGCGCACGGGUGAGUAACACGUAUCCAACCUGCCGAUGACUCGGGGAUAGCCUUUCGAAAGAAAGAUUAAUACCCGAUGGCAUAGUUCUUCCGCAUGGUAGAACUAUUAAAGAAUUUCGGUCAUCGAUGGGGAUGCGUUCCAUUAGGUUGUUGGCGGGGUAACGGCCCACCAAGCCUUCGAUGGAUAGGGGUUCUGAGAGGAAGGUCCCCCACAUUGGAACUGAGACACGGUCCAAACUCCUACGGGAGGCAGCAGUGAGGAAUAUUGGUCAAUGGACGAGAGUCUGAACCAGCCAAGUAGCGUGAAGGACGACUGCCCUAUGGGUUGUAAACUUCUUUUAUACGGGAAUAAAGUGAGGCACGUGUGCCUUUUUGUAUGUACCGUAUGAAUAAGGAUCGGCUAACUCCGUGCCAGCAGCCGCGGUAAUACGGAGGAUCCGAGCGUUAUCCGGAUUUAUUGGGUUUAAAGGGAGCGUAGGCGGACGCUUAAGUCAGUUGUGAAAGUUUGCGGCUCAACCGUAAAAUUGCAGUUGAUACUGGGUGUCUUGAGUACAGUAGAGGCAGGCGGAAUUCGUGGUGUAGCGGUGAAAUGCUUAGAUAUCACGAAGAACUCCGAUUGCGAAGGCAGCCUGCUGGACUGUAACUGACGCUGAUGCUCGAAAGUGUGGGUAUCAAACAGGAUUAGAUACCCUGGUAGUCCACACAGUAAACGAUGAAUACUCGCUGUUUGCGAUAUACAGUAAGCGGCCAAGCGAAAGCGUUAAGUAUUCCACCUGGGGAGUACGCCGGCAACGGUGAAACUCAAAGGAAUUGACGGGGGCCCGCACAAGCGGAGGAACAUGUGGUUUAAUUCGAUGAUACGCGAGGAACCUUACCCGGGCUUGAAUUGCAACUGAAUGAUGUGGAGACAUGUCAGCCGCAAGGCAGUUGUGAAGGUGCUGCAUGGUUGUCGUCAGCUCGUGCCGUGAGGUGUCGGCUUAAGUGCCAUAACGAGCGCAACCCUUAUCGAUAGUUACCAUCAGGUGAUGCUGGGGACUCUGUCGAGACUGCCGUCGUAAGAUGUGAGGAAGGUGGGGAUGACGUCAAAUCAGCACGGCCCUUACGUCCGGGGCUACACACGUGUUACAAUGGGGGGUACAGAAGGCAGCUACACGGCGACGUGAUGCUAAUCCCGAAAGCCUCUCUCAGUUCGGAUUGGAGUCUGCAACCCGACUCCAUGAAGCUGGAUUCGCUAGUAAUCGCGCAUCAGCCACGGCGCGGUGAAUACGUUCCCGGGCC
rnacentral:rRNA from 1 species